GUGCAUGUUUCUGCAGCACAUAUACUAAAAUUAGAACUAUAAGAAGUAGAUUAGCAUGGUCCCUGGACAAGGAUGACAUGAAAAUUUUUUAAGCAUUCUAUAUGACA